AUACGUAGGUGGCAAGCGUUGUCCGGAAUUAUUGGGCGUAAAGCGCGCGCAGGUGGUUCCUUAAGUCUGAUGUGAAAGCCCCCGGCUCAACCGGGGAGGGUCAUUGGAAACUGGGGAACUUGAGUGCAGAAGAGGAUAGUGGAAUUCCAAGUGUAGCGGUGAAAUGCGUAGAGAUUUGGAGGAACACCAGUGGCGAAGGCGACUGUCUGGUCUGUAACUGACACUGAGGCGCGAAAGCGUGGGGAGCAAACAGGAUUAGAUCCCCUGGUAGUCCACGCCGUAAACGAUGAGUGCUAAGUGUUGGGGGGUUUCCGCCCCUCAGUGCUGCAGCUAACGCAUUAAGCACUCCGCCUGGGGAGUACGGUCGCAAGACUGAAACUCAAAGGAAUUGACGGGG
rnacentral:rRNA from 1 species